AAUUUUGGACAAUGGGGGAAACCGUGUUCCAGCCAUCCCGCGUGUAUGAUGAAGGCCUUCUGUGGGUAAAGUACUUUUGGUAGAGAAGAAAAGGUAUCUCCUAAUACGGGAUACUGCCGACGGUACCUGCAGAAUAAGCACCGGCUAACUACGUGCCAGCAGCCGCGGUAAUACGUAGGGUGCAAGCGUUAAUCGUAAUUACUGGGCGUAAAGCGUGUGUAGGCGGUUCGGAAAGAAAAAUGUGAAAUCCCAGGGCUCAACCUUGGAACUGCAUUUUUAACUGCAGAGCUAGGGUAUGUCAGAGGGGGGUAGAAUUCCACGUGUAGCAGUGAAAUGCGUAGAUAUGUGGAGGAAUACCGAUGGCGAAGGCAGCCCCCUGGGAUAAUACUGACGCUCAGACACGAAAGCGUGGGGAGCAAACAGG
rnacentral:rRNA from 1 species